ACUGCACCUCUGCAUCUCGCCUCUCUUAAGCUCACAAACUAAGAACUCUCUAGACACUCCUCACAAUACUUAAGCUAAGUUUAGUGAUUUACACACUACAUAUUUUCCAUUGGAGAUCUACCUCUACUGCUUUUUUUUUUUCUUUUUUUUUUCUUUUUUUUUUUUUUUUUUAAGUUAGGGUUCUUUCCUAGCUAAUCUCUGAGAAGCAAUCCAGAAAUUCCAACUGUCUGAGUGGUUUUGUCAGGUAUAUUAGAUUGAAGAAGAUGAAUAUGGCCUACCAAAUCUGGAAAAUUCAAGACGCAGGCUGGGUUGAUGAUGAUUUUUCUACAGUUCAUCGGGAUGGAGGGACCCGACCCGGGGCAAACUCCCGGUCUGCAGCCAUGGCGGUAUGGUUUCUCCAUUACCAAAUCUGAGCUUAUUUUCUGCUCCAUAUAAUUUCAAAAAUUAAACUCCAUAUAGGCAUUUUGCUCAUAGUAUUUUAAUUAUGUUAGAGUCACUUGGAACUGCAACUCUUGAUUUUGGAGUACAUAUAUAUAGUUGGUUUGAUGUAUUUGGAAACUGUGUCUUAAUUAUUAAUAUUAAUAAUAUUUUAAAAUACAAUUGUCACCGUGCCUCUAUCUCUGUCAAUCCAUCGGUUCCAUUUCCAGAAGGUUCACUUUACCUUCAUCGUCUCUGCGCUUUCUGUUUCGUCACUCUGAAACUCCACCAUUUUAGCUCGAAUCCUACUCCAUACCACACAGCUCGCUUGCGAUUCUUGUCAAUCGCAAGAGCAUAUGGUCGUAUAUCAUAGUUUUCGUGGUUUUUCAAGCCCUAUUUUAGAUGUGUAGAUUGUAGCAGUUUCCUGAAAUUUCUAAGUUGAAUCUUGCAGCCAAGGUAAGUUUUAUACUAUAUCAUUCUAUUAAUUUAUAUUCUAUGAAACAAAUCAUCCUAAUUUUAUUAGAUACAGGCAACCCUAACAGUUUAAGCUUGAUUUCUACAUGAUCAAUACAUCCCAAGUCCUCUUAGAGUAUGGAUCUUUGGAAAUAGUGACUUGGAAAGCACAUGCAGAUCAUUUUUGUGUAUGAAUUUCUUACAAAGGUGGGUAUGUUCACUAUUUGGAGGUGUAUUUGCUGGAGUGGCCGUUUUAUACUCCGAUUACCUACAAAAUACUUUCAAUUUCUUGGUGGAAUUGCUCAUAGCAUUAGACUUUCUUAGUAAUGAUAGUAUGAUACUAAAAGUUUUGUCCCACCUUUAAUGUGCAUGAUUGAAAUUUAUCCAAGUUGAAUUAUCAGGUUAAAUUUUAUCUACUUGUACUUUCUUUUGUCGCACAUCUAAUUGCAUAGUGUUUCACAUCUACUUUAUAUAUGUGAUACUUGUAUGUUUUGUCUGUUGUGUGUCCUGCUUAUUUACUAACAUCACAUCCUAGUUUUUGCAAAUGAUGAAAUUUACUUUUGAUGCUAUAUACAGAAUACUUAUUAAGUUCUCUACUAUGGACCGCAGAAUGCUUACCUAACACUGAGUAGGAGUCUGAAUAUGGAUCUUUGAAAUUAUCACGUGUAUCUUUAAAUUGAAGUUCAUGUACCCCAAUCACAAUGAGCCUGGGUUGCUACUAUCCAAUCACUUAUCCAUCUCAGAACGAUUGAAUUGCAAGUAGAAAACUGUAGUUUUUGUUUCAAUUUCUAUUGUUUGUACUUUGAAGAUAUACUAUUAGAGUCUUUAUGACACACUACCAUUUUGA